GUCUUUGCUAUGGACGAAAUUUGAUCUUCCUUGAUUAUUUUUGGGCUGAAUCCACUUUGCUGGGCUUCUAUAAUGGACCAAGAUUGUAGAACAAGUCAGUUUGUAGCUUAGUUCAUUCUGGUCUGGUCGGAAUUCUUCAUUGAAUGCGCGAAGGUCCGAAUCUGGUAAACUGGAGAACACCUGAUUUGUAAAUUGAAUAACUCCUUUGUUUGAUCUCCUUUUGCUUUGAUUCUUCUUCGAGGAGUUCCAUAGUUGAGCUGAGCACAUUCUCCAAGUGGUUUCGUGCUUUGAUUCCUUGUCAUUCGGAAGAUACACUUCAAAAACUGAACACAUAUCCUGAUGCUUCCCAUUAUCAUAUCAA
rnacentral:lncRNA from 1 species